GGACUGGGAUGGCUCCGUCUCUUUGGUACCCAGUGAGUGUAUUUGGAAGCCCAAGACGCACACAGACAUCAGGCUGUUUACAAGUUCUCUGCAGGGGCUGGCCCCAGGCUGGAGCACACGGGACAGAGCUCUGGGCGCUCACAGAUUUAAAACACCCGAUUCAGGUCCCAGAAAACACCAUCGUCUUACUUUAAAGCCAAACUUCAAAUAAUGAUCUGGCACUAAAUUCUUUGAUUCUGUGAAAUUUUGGGAUUCUGGGCGAGACUGAAAUCCUGAGCAGGACCGAGGACAGCAAAGCUCUAGGACAGACGUCUGGACCUGUGUGGUGACCUGUGUGAUGAAGGACGAUGGUGGGCAGCCGGCCGAGCACGCACACGAGGCUGUCCUCCCGGGAGCUGUCUGAGGAGGUGAUGGUGACAUGUCUGUCUGGUGGGUUCCCAGGAGGGGAGGGAGCAGCUGGGAGGCCCCAGGUCCCCAUCUCUGAGCAUCACUCACUGGGGGAGGGUGGGGGAGGUGGACAGAUGGUGGCUGGCUCCGUCUCUGAGCCAGGGUUCCAGAAUCAGUCCUGAGGGCCUGCUCCAUGCCAGGUACUGGGCCCGGGACUCAUCCGGGUGCUGGGCAGACACAAUCCUGCCCAGAGGAGCUCAGUGCCCACAGAGCCGAGGCACAGGGGCGGCAUGAACUGAGAAUGAAGGAGACACUUGCAGGCGGAGGUCAGCGUCCUGGAGCUAGUGAAGAGCGCGUGUCCUUGUGACGCUGGUGGGGGCUGCUGACGGAGGGCCACGAUCCAGCUGAGGCCUAAGGGAUUGGAGGGAAUGGGCUGGAAGGAGCCCUGGGCCUGAGCUCAUCCCACAGACUCGUACAUGAAUUUAACUGGGAUUAGUUGCCAAUAUCUGUAUUCUAACCGUGGUUUUCCAGUUUCUUGGAAAAUCAGAACAUCUGGCUCUGCCGGGCCCCGAUUCCGGUGGAUUUCAGGUUCUAGCAGGGAGCACGUGGGUGGUUUGGCUCCCCAGCCUCGGUCCCAGUGUGGAGUCCCGGGACCCAGGACGCUGGGCUCCGUGGUAGGACCCCUCGGCCCGCCUCCCUGAUCAUCUGGCUGCCAAGACCCCCACAGUGAGACUGGCAGAAGCGAAGUCAGGUGAAAUCGGGCUGUGAACGUGUUUAUCAGAAACCACACGUGCAGCCGGAAGACUGUCGCCAUGGCAGCUUGGAAGUGACAGAUUGGGGCAUCGUCUGCCAAGAGAUGAGCAAGAGGAGGGCCGGCAGAGGUUCCUGGGCCCAGGGGAGCACAGUGAUUUAUCCGUGGGAGACCAGGACACUGGACAGGCAGGAGGGACUCGCAGAGCUCAUUGUCCACCCAGAGCACGGGACGCUUCUCUGGGACGUCUGGGCACCGUCUCUUCUUGGUCAGGCCCACCUUAUGCACAAGAAGAAGGGAACCAGUCAAAUGCCAAACGGUCCUGGCCCUCGGGGUGACAGUGUCCAGGAAAGAGACCGACAGACUCUCUCAGGAGACACAGUAAAAGGAACCACCCAGAUCUGCCAAGAGCCUCCGAGACCUUGGGGUCACUUGCUGCCAGACGACAUUCCUCCUCCUAUUACGGAAUGUAGGCGCCAUAUGGAAAUCUGAACCUUUAAACACAGUGGACCUGUUUCUGCUGGGAAAUGAGCUGAGUUCUGCCUGUGUGCGAGCCCAGUGCCGAGGGAAAGGAGCCGAGAGAGAGGGAGAGAAGAGGAUCUGGGAGACGGGAGUUGAGACACUGGAUCCAGCCAUGCCUGAAGCUGUGACUCUUAGCUCAGGUUUUCCAAACCUCAGGACCGUUGACAGUUUGGGUGAGUCUUUGUGGUGGGGGCUGUUCUGAAUACCAAUAGCACCACACAGCCCCCUCCACCCAUGCCAACGAAGAAAGUCUCCCGCUGUUGCCAAAUGUCCCCGAGGGCCACGCUGCCUCUGUUCACACACUCUUCAGGCUGCGGAUGAGUCGUGGGGUCCGUGAAGGUUCCCGUUGCCCAUUGCUCCUCAAGGUGGGGUUCUCUUCUUGUCUCCGGGAGGCUUUCUGUCCAAAGAAGAGCUACACCUCUAAGACGGAGCAGCUCUGAAUCACCUGGUGUCCUGACUAGAGAAGAAGUCUGCACCUUAGCCAGGUCCCGGGAGAAGGG